UUAUGGCCAUAGCAUGCUGAAGCAAAAGUUCUCAUAUGAUCACUGAGGUUAAGCAACAUCAAGCCUGGUCAGUGCCUGGAUGGGUGACUGCUUGGGAAUACCUGGUGCCAUA